rnacentral:rRNA from 1 species
UACGAGAGGCCCAAACGUUAUUCGGAUUUACUGGGCUUAAAGAGUUCGUAGGCGGCGCAGAAAGUAGGGUGUGAAAGCCCUCGGCUCAACCGAGGAAUUGCGCCCUAAACUACUGUGCUAGAGGAAGCUAGAGGUGAGCAGAACAGAUGGUGGAGCGGUGAAAUGCGUUGAUAUCAUCUGGAAUACCGGAGGCGAAGGCGGCUCACUGGGGCUUUUUCUGACGCUGAGGAACGAAAGCCAGGGUAGCGAACGGG